CCCGCUGAACUUAAGCAUAUCAAUAAGCGGAGGAAAAGAAACUAACAAGGAUUCCCCUAGUAACUGCAAGUGAAGCGGGAAAAGCUCAAAUUUAAAAUCUGGUAGUUUUAGCUGCCCGAGUUGUAAUCUAGAGAAGCAUUAUCCGCGUUGGACCGUGUACAAGUUUCCUGGAACGGAGCGUCAUAGAGGGUGAGAAUCCCGUCUUUGACACGGACUACCAAGGCUUUGUGAUAUGCUCUCAAAGAGUCGAGUUGUUUGGGAAUGCAGCUCUAAAUGGGUGGUAAAUUCCAUCUAAAGCUAAAUAUUGGCGAGAGACCGAUAGCGAACAAGUACCGUGAGGGAAAGAUGAAAAGAACUUUGGAAAGAGAGUUAAACAGUACGUGAAAUUGUUGAAAGGGAAACGCUUGAAGUCAGUCACGUUUAUUGGGGAUCAACCUAGCUCUUUUGCUUGGUGUAUUUCCUAAUUGACGGGUCAGCAUCAAUUUUGACUGGUGGAAAAAGGUCAGGGGAAUGUGGCAUCUUCGGAUGUGUUAUAGCCCUUGGUUGUAUACAUCAGUUGGGAUUGAGGAAUUCAGCACGCCGCAAGGCCGGGUCUUUGACCACGUUCGUGCUUAGGAUGCUGGCAUAAUGGCUUUAAUCGACCCGUCUUGAAACACGGACCAAGGAGUCUAACAUGCCUGCGAGUAUUUGGGUGGAAAACCCAGAUGCACAAUGAAAGUGAAAGUUGAGAUCCCUGUCGUGGGGAGCAUCGACGCCCGGACCAGACCUUUUGUGACGGAUCCGCGGUAGAGCAUGUAUGUUGGGACCCGAAAGAUGGUGAACU
rnacentral:rRNA from 1 species